rnacentral:rRNA from 1 species
AUGCAAGAGCCAUGCGCGGCGAUCGCCGCUCACCUGGUGCGGCUCCCCAUCCAGGCGAGGAUGGCGGGCUGCGCGUCUGCGUCGACAUCCCAGGGCUCAACAGGACCGCAUCUCAGGAGCUUUUCUGGCCUUCGCGCGCGGGACGCUGCGAGGGCCUGCCUCACAGCUACGUUCGCAUGCCUUUCGGCCUGCCGAGCAUGGCGUCCGCCUUCCAGCGCAAGCUGCGGAGCGUCCUGGCGGCUCAGGAGGCCAGGCACCACGCAGUCCUGGCAGAGAUGGAGACGGUCCUCAAGGAACCGCCUGGACCCCCAGAGCCUCCCGAGGCUCAGGGCACUGGUGGCUCGUGAGGAGCAACCCCUUCAUCACGCGUCUUCAGCUGCCUCAACACCCCUUCGACAACGGAACCAGGUGACAUUUUCCAAAUUCAUUUAG